GGGUGAUUCACAUGGGAUGAAGGUCAUGGUGACUCACCAGACCUACAUUUGAAUGGAACUAGCUGUGUCCCUCCUGGAAGACUCAUAACAAACACCUGGGAUUUGUGUGGAACAUUCCAAACUCCAGGCUCUGCUUUUCUGUUUUGAUUUUCCAUCUCUGAGGUCUUCCAGGGAACCAGCCCAUUACAGUCCCGUCCACAAAAUGGGAGCGCACCAAGUCCGUGGGGUGAACCGCAUGCACCAACCCGCAGGCACGCGCCACCCGUGGCUGUGCAUUGGAACGCCUGAUCCCAGGUGUGGUGCUAAGGAAGGGCCCUGUGCAGCCAAGCGUGACUUCCUAUUGGGCGUAGACACAGCAGCGUUCCCUGUGGCCAAGGAUGGCACCUCUAGUAAUAAAUGCCAGUGAACUGGAGGUGAAGUAACCUCAUGCCAACAAGUCACCCCAUGCUGUGUUUGCACCGAAAGCCCCCCCAAAACCUGAAGAAGCAAAACCCAGCUGCAGGUUGAUGAUUUUGGUGGGAGUGGAGAUAUGGGUCGACCUUCUGCUGGGCUGUGGGCCACGCCCUUGGGAUCGGCUCAUUAGGGCUAUAGGUCCAGCUGGCCAUUCCCAGGGCCUUGAAUUUGCUGAGGCUCUUUACAAGCCUGA
rnacentral:lncRNA from 1 species